GUGGCGGACGGGUGAGUAACACGUGGAUAACCUGCCUGUAAGACCGGGACAACACCUGGAAACGGGUGCUAAUACCGGGUAAGCUCCUUGCGCCGCAUGGGAAGAAGAGGAGAGGGGAAACCCGCUUACAGAUGGAUCCGCGGCCCAUUAGCUAGUUGGCGGAGUAACGGACCACCAAGGCGACGAUGGGUAGCCGGCCUGAGAGGGUGGACGGCCACACUGGAACUGAGACACGGUCCAGACUCCUACGGGAGGCAGCAGUGGGGAAUCUUCCGCAAUGGGCGAAAGCCUGACGGAGCACGCCGGGUGAAUGAUGAAGGCCUUCGGGUUGUAAAAUUCUGUCUUCAGGGAAGAAAAAAAUGACGGUACCUGAGGAGGAAGCCCCGGCUACUAC
rnacentral:rRNA from 1 species